rnacentral:lncRNA from 1 species
GGAAUUAUUUGUAACAUUGGUCCAUAUUCAUGACCAAGUAGUUUACCUAGGUUCAAGGGUAAGCCUUUCACGUGGCUAGGGCAAAUGGAAGUCAAGCCAUGAUUCAAGAGAGUAUGCACGGUUAGGAAUUUGAAUUCAAGGGUAUAUGGCACACGUUUUCAAACUUGGAGAUAAAGAGAAGAUUAUAUGAAGAUUAAAGAGAGAUUAAUCAAUCUCCCAAAUAUGCACACGGCUAGAAACAAGGAAAGAAGAUAGGAAGCUCAAUCUUUUAAGGUGCACAAGGCUAUAAAAUAGGGAAUCCUAAUCUCAUCUCCAACCAACAACAAAUCAGAUUGGAUUCAAAUUAAAUAUGAUUAGUUCCUCAAGAUGAAGUCAAAUUGAUCAAGUCUCUUCCUUCUCCUCAACAAAUUCGGC